rnacentral:lncRNA from 1 species
UGCCUUAAUUUCACACUUUCACAACCUUAGCCGCUUGUCAUUCUUUUCCUCUCUCGUUAACCCUUCUCUUCUCUUCAUCAAAUGAUCAUUUUCCUCUAUCUUUAGCUCUUCUCUUCAUCAAAUCACUAUCGUCACUCGUCAUCGCUUUGCCACCUUCGAUGUGUUCAUGUUCAUCAUCAUCAUCACCCUCCAUUUAGCCACAGUUUGUCCGCCUUUGCCAAUUGCAAUCGUGGUUGUGAUGUUGUAGUGGUGGUGGUCGUCAUCAUUAUAUCAUCAGUAUCUGCCAUUCGUUGCUUUGUCGGACGCCAAUCCUUGAAGUUCGUGAACUGAAUCCUUGAAUCGUGAGUUUGAAUUAUAGACAUGGAUUUGUAUUUUGUGAAUGUUAUGCUACAAUUUUAUAUUUGUGAAUGGUUUAUUGU